UAGAAGGACGACUAAAGCAUGUUUAGGACACCCGGGCAGCUUCACUGAGAUCCCAGCAUGUGGCAGUCCAGCCAUCACGGGAGCUGCACUGCUGGAGCACAGGAGGACAGCACAUUGUACUCUCACCUCCUACGGUUAAGUGUGGCCAUAUGACUGAAUGCUGGCCAAUAGCAUGUGAAAGAAAAGAAAGAAGAUGAUUCGCCUCCCAAAGAAGGCAAUUCCCCACUGCUGAGUCCCUUCUGUCAACUUGAAUGAAGAAAACACGAUGGGGAGGGAAAUCACGUGUUGAAGAUGGGAGGGCUAAAAGAUGGAAAGAGACUGGAACCCUGAGUCACUACCUGGAGGAAAACCACCCAACCGUCUGGAAUUUUUAUUACACAUUUGUGGGUUUUUGGGUUACAGCAGCCACUUUAACUAAAACACCCCAAGACAAGAGCUGUUAUUACACAAACUGGUUAAGUUACCUUUUUGUAUGUUUGGAUCCUCUCUCUUCGAUUAGACUGCAAGUUCCUUUGAAACACAUCUAUUUAAAAUUCUUAUAUUCCCAGAGAGCCUAGCAAAGAGUAUGCACAGAGUGAGCCUCCAGUAAAUGCUGAGUGAAUAAACUCCUAAUGAAUGAAACUGGGCCUCUGAAGUUUGUUCUGAACAGCACUUGGUAUAGGCUUUUGUGCUGUUGGUCAGUUUUCAUGAAGAUUCUUGCUACUAAGGAAUUUGACACCCAUUGUACUCAGAGAGAGCAGAAUUCCAGGAGAAACCAAUAGAAGAGAUAUGUCCAAAAAUCCAUUGAAAAUUUCACUGAGAGAUAUUUAUCCCUUUAAUCCUGCAAGUUGUUGCAUGUAAUGGAAGGUUCAGUCGGAUGAAAACAGGACUGUGAGCUGGAAAGAGACUUGGAGUCUCUUGGCUGACUCUGCCACAAAUGGUGUUACCUUCAAUUUCUGUGUCUGUAAAAUGAAGUCAGUGGUCUCCAAAACGAAAUCUUGACUAAUGACAAAUCAUUUGAUUAAAUAUCGAUAGGUUCCCCAUGUGAUUUUGAUGCACAAAUCAGAUUUGGAAACCACUAGGCUGUGUGAUCUUGUCCUGUGAGUCUAUCAUUGUCAACAUGGAAAGUAAAUUUGUUUUGCUGACUGAAGGCUGUGUAACUUAGAAGUGGAAAGAGACAUAGAAUUGAGUAACCCAUCUCUAUGGGGUAAAAAGAUGAAACACAUUUAGUUAGUCCAAAGAUAAAAUGGAAAAAUAAAUAUGUUUUAAGAUGA